UACAGAGGUCCCAAGCGUUGUUCGGAUUCACUGGGCGUAAAGGGUGCGUAGGCGGUCGGGUAAGUCUGGCGUGAAAUCUCCAAGCCUAACUUGGAAACUGCGUUGGAUACUAUCCGGCUCGAGGAAUGGAGGGGAGACUGUAAUACUUGGUGUAGCAGUGAAAUGCGUAGAUAUCAAGUGGAACACCAGUGGCGAAGGCGAGUCUCUGGACAUUUCCUGACGCUGAGGCACGAAAGCCAGGGGAGCAAACGGG
rnacentral:rRNA from 1 species